CAGUGUCCCAGAACCGAGCAGAUUGGGAGAAGAUCCGAGCAGAGGUUGCAGCACUGCAGAAAACAGCAGAGGCUUUCCAUCUUUUGGUGUCUGGGGAGCUGGCCGCUGUGAAGGAGCUUCACAGUAAAAUGCAAGAGGACAUCACGGCAUUACAGAAAAGAGUGGGCGUUCUUGGUGAAGAACCGUACAAAGUCCCGGGUAUACUGGCUGGGGCUGAGUGACAAGAAAGUGGAAAAUCAAUGGUUCUGGGUGGAUGGCUCCCCUCUGAAACUCAG